rnacentral:rRNA from 1 species
GAGGUAUCAGAAGUGCGAAUGCUGACAUGAGUAACGAUAAGGGGGGUGAAAAACCCCCCCGCCGAAAGAUCAAGGUUUCCUGUCCAACGUUAAUCGGGACAGGGUGAGUCGGCACCUAAGGCGAGGGCGAAGGCCGUAGUCGAUGGAAAAUCGGUUAAAAUUCCGAUACCGAUUCUUACUGCGAUGGAGGGACGGAGCAGGCUAGGCUAGCACGGCGUUGGUAGUCCGUGUUUAAGCGUGUAGGUAGGGGGAUUAGGUAAAUCCGGUUCCUCGUUAAUCUGAGACGUGAUGACGAUCUCUUGGGGCAACCCUUGAGAGAAGUAGUUGAUGCCAUACUUCCAGGAAAAUCUUCUAAGCUUCAGGUAAGAAUUGACCGUACUGUAAACCGACACAGGUGAUCAGGUAGAGAAUACCAAGGCGCUUGAGAGAACUUGGGUGAAGGAACUAGGCAAAAUGGUACCGUAACUUCGGGAGAAGGUACGCUCUCUUUGGUGAUCGGACUUGCUCCGUAAGCUGAGGAGAGUCGAAGUGACCAGGUGGCUGCAACUGUUUAUUAAAAACAUAGCACUCUGCAAACACGUAAGUGGACGUAUAGGGUGUGACGCCUGCCCGGUGCCGGAAGGUUAAUUGAUGGGGUUAGCUAACGCGAAGCUCUUGAUCGAAGCCCCGGUAAACGGCGGCCGUAACUAUAACGGUCCUAAGGUAGCGAAAUUCCUUGUCGGGUAAGUUCCGACCUGCACGAAUGGCGUAAUGAUGGCCACGCUGUCUCCACCCGAGACUCAGUGAAAUUGAAAUCGCUGUGAAGAUGCAGUGUAUCCGCGGCUAGACGGAAAGACCCCGUGAACCUUUACUAUAGCUUUGCACUGGACUUUGAAUUUGCUUGUGUAGGAUAGGUGGGAGGCUUUGAAGCGUGGACGCCAGUCUGCGUGGAGCCAUCCUUGAAAUACCACCCUGGCAACUUUGAGGUUCUAACUCAGGUCCGUUAUCCGGAUCGAGGACAGUGUAUGGUGGGUAGUUUGACUGGGGCGGUCUCCUCCUAAAGAGUAACGGAGGAGUACGAAGGUGCGCUCAGACCGGUCGGAAAUCGGUCGUAGAGUAUAAAGGCAAAAGCGCGCUUGACUGCGAGACAGACACGUCGAGCAGGUACGAAAGUAGGUCUUAGUGAUCCGGUGGUUCUGUAUGGAAGGGCCAUCGCUCAACGGAUAAAAGGUACU